rnacentral:rRNA from 1 species
GGUUUGAUUAUGGCUCAGAUUGAACGCUGGCGGGAUGCUUUACAUGCAAGUCGAACGGCAGCACGGACUUCAGUCUGGUGGCGAGUGGCGAACGGGUGAGUAAUGUAUCGGAACGUGCCUAGUAGCGGGGGAUAACUACGCGAAAGCGUAGCUAAUACCGCAUACGCCCUUCGAGGAAAGCGGGGGACCUUCGGGCCUCGCACUAUUAGAGCGGCCGAUAUCGGAUUAGCUAGUUGGUGGGGUAACGGCUCACCAAGGCGACGAUCCGUAGCUGGUUUGAGGACGACCAGCACGGACAGACACGGCCCAGACUCCUGCGGGAAGGCGGCAGUGAAAUUUUGGACAAUGGGGAAACCUGAUCCAGCCAUCCCGCGUGUGCGAUGAAGGCCUUCGGGUUGUAAAGCACUUUUGGCAGGAAAGAAACGGCACGGGAUAAUACCCCGUGCAACUGACGGUACCUGCAGAAUAAGCACCGGCUAACUACGUGCCAGCAGCCGCGGUAAUACGUAAGUGCAAGCGUUAAUCGGAAUUACUGGGCGUAAAGCGUGCGCAGGCGGUUCGGAAAGAAGAUGUGAAAUCCCAGAGCUUAACUUUGGAACUGCAUUUUUAACUACCGAGCUAGAGUGUGUCAGAGGGAAGUGGAAUUCCGCGUGUAGCAGUGAAAUGCGUAGAUAUGCGGAGGAACACCGAUGUGAAAAGCAGCCUCCUGGGAUAACACUGACGCUCAUGCUGUAAGCGUGGGGAGCAAACAGGAUUAGAUACCCUGGUAGUCCACGCCCUAAACGAUGUCAACUAGCUGUUGGGGCCUUCGGGCCUUGGUAGCGCAACUAACAUGAAGUUGACCGCCUGGGGAGUACGGUCGCAGAUUAAAACUCAAAGGAAUUGACGGGGACCCGCACAAGCGGUGGAUGAUGUGGAUUAAUUCGAUGCAACGCGAAACCUUACCUACCCUUGACAUGUCUGGAAUCGAAAGAGAUUUGGGAGUGCUCGCAAGAGAACCGGAACACAGGUGCUGCAUGGCUGUCGUCAGCUCGUGUCGUGAGAUGUUGGGUUAAGUCCCGCAACAGGCGCAACCCUUGUCAUUAGUUGCUACGAAAGGGCACUCUAAUGAGACUGCCGGUGACAAACCGGAGGAAGGUGGGAUGACGUCAAGUCCUCAUGGCCCUUAUGGGUAGGGCUUCACAUACAAUGGUCGGGACAGAGGGUCGCCAACCCGCGAGGGGGAGCCAAUCCCAGAAACCCGAUCGUAGUCCGGAUCAUGAUCCUCUCCACAACUCGACUGCGUGAAGUCGGAAUCGCUAGUAAUCGCGGAUCAGCAUGUCGCGGUGAAUACGUUCCCGGGUCUUGUACACACCGCCCGUCACACCAUGGGAGUGGGUUUUACCAGAAGUAGUUAGCCUAACCGUAAGGAGGGCGAUUACCACGGUAGGAUUCAUGACUGGGGGUGAAGUCGUAACAAGGUAG